UUGUAAUAAAUGAAAAUGAAAAUACACAUAUCAAAAAUUGUCGAAUAUGGCCAAAGUAAUGUAUGAGAGAAACUUAUAGCAUGAAUACGCCUACAUUAGAAAAGAUAUAGCCUCAUAUAUACUAAAGAAAUGAAAGCUGAAAUUUAAAAAACCUUCUCACAGAGAGAAGUGCUAAGUGGGGGUGGGGAAGAGAUUACAAAGGGGCAUGAGAAAAUUUUUGGAAAUUAAUGGCUAUGUUUAUUAUUGUGAUGAUGGUUUCAAAGAUGACUGUCUAUGUCAAGAUUUAUCAAAUUGUAAGUUUUCAAUAUGUGCUGUCAAUUGCAUUUCAAUAAUGCUGAUUAAAACUGUGAUGAAAAAAUACUUAUUGCAUUUAAAAAGCAUGUGGUAGUUGGUAGUUUGUAUUUGCUCAAGA
rnacentral:lncRNA from 1 species